GGAGGGGGUGACUAGCGACAGAAUGAGGGGGUGACUAGUGACAGAGGGAGGGGGUGACUAGUGACAGAGUGAGGGAGGGGGUGACUGUCACUAGUCACCCCCUCCCUCACUCUGUCACUAGUCACCCCUUCCCUCCCUCUGUCACAAGUCACCCCUUCCCUCCCUCUAUCACUAGUCGCCACCUCCCUCUGUCACUAGUCGCAACCUCCCUCAC